rnacentral:rRNA from 1 species
UGGGGAAUUUUGGACAAUGGGCGAAAGCCUGAUCCAGCAAUGCCGCGUGUGUGAAGAAGGCCUUCGGGUUGUAAAGCACUUUUGUCCGGAAAGAAAUCCUUGGCUCUAAUACAGUCGGGGGAUGACGGUACCGGAAGAAUAAGCACCGGCUAACUACGUGCCAGCAGCCGCGGUAAUACGUAGGGUGCAAGCGUUAAUCGGAAUUACUGGGCGUAAAGCGUGCGCAGGCGGUUUGCUAAGACCGAUGUGAAAUCCCCGGGCUCAACCUGGGAACUGCAUUGGUGACUGGCAGGCUAGAGUAUGGCAGAGGGGGGUAGAAUUCCACGUGUAGCAGUGAAAUGCGUAGAGAUGUGGAGGAAUACCGAUGGCGAAGGCAGCCCCCUGGGCCAAUACUGACGCUCAUGCACGAAAGCGUGGGGAGCAAACAGGAUUAGAUACCCUGGUAGUCCACGCCCUAAACGAUGUCAACUAGUUGUUGGGGAUUCAUUUCCUUAGUAACGUAGCUAACGCGUGAAGUUGACCGCCUGGGGAGUACGGUCGCAAGAUUAAAACUCAAAUGAAUUGAUGGGGUCAUAGCUGUUU